GGCUGUAGCUCAGUGGCAGAGCAUUUGCCUAGCGUGUGUGAGGCACUGGGUUCAACCCUCAGCACCA
rnacentral:tRNA from 1 species